UGUGACUUUGCAGAUUCUCUUAUCAAGCAGAGAAAUUUGCUUCUUUUUUUGAAUCUCAGUUGGGUUUGUGACUUGCUUCGGCCAAUAGAAUGCGAUGGAAGUGAUGAUGUUGCCUCUUCCUCCAAGCACACUUUUUCUCUCUCUCAGAAUCCUGCUGCCCCCUUCCCCGCUUAAUGACAUAGGAACCUAGCUGGAGAGUGAGCAGCUACGCCCCAGCUGAAGCUGCCCUUGAUUAGAUAGCCCUAGUUGACCCGGAAGCUGACGACAGACACAGGGGAGGACCCAGGUCUCUCACUACCUGGUGCCUGGUUCAAAGGGAGCAUGAAAAGGCAAACAUGCCAAGAGUUUCAUGCAGAAGCUGCAAAGCUUAUGAUCAAGUAGCCUCAGAGGUCCCGGAAUGUCAUGUUCAUUAAAUAAGUCACUAAAGCCAGCCUAAAUUCAAGAGGAGAAUUAGACUGUACCUUCUGAUGUGAGGAGCAGCCUGUUUGUCUAAGCAAGCUUCAUCCACCACACAUAUGAGGUGCAGAGCCGAUCUGAUGGUCCAUGUGAAGCCUCAUGGAGUUUUGGAUACUGUGAGAGAUUGAUUGCUUUAGGCGUUGUAGAAAUGCAACACUUUAAGGCUGAAUAACUCGUUCCACAGACACGAUCACAGCUAGAUAAAUGAUACCUUGGGAAAGUUAUAAAUUUCUAUCACUUGAUUUUAACUGGAGAAUGUAAUACCACCGUGCUGACUCCCCCAUCCUCAUCAGAACACAAACGAUGAUAGACUUCCCAUCUGAUUUGACAUGGCAGCUGAAUCUACUGUAUCCAUUUCUGACUUCACGAGACUGUCAAUCUCACCACUGAAUAAUAUAAGACCAGCAUUUGCCAAGUCUUUUGCUAACAUGCCAGAUGGAGGAAAACUGCCACCAUAUCUAAUUUGUAAGUUUGCAUAUCUGAUCAGAGGGAAAAAAAAUAAUUAUUCUUGUGGCCAAGAAUGGAAAGAACCAUGUGAUGAUUCACAAAUGAUAAAUUUAUGAAGGAGGAACAAAGGAGAAUUAUAUAGA